UUUAGCCCAAAACUUCGGUAAAAAAGUGGUACCAAAAUGAAAAGAAAAGAAAGGAAAGAGAAAACAACUCGCAACUAAGUUUUAUCAGAAGAAAAUAGAGGCCUGUGAAGUAAAAUCCCGAAUACUCAAUUUCAACUACUGUCCAAGCAGUUGAAGUGGAGAGGGGGAGAGAAACCGCUCCAGAGUGAAGCAGCCAUUUCCCAUCACCUGGUGAUGUUCCUGAAGACAUGACACAAGGGUGGCGUGCGUCAUCAUUGCUCUGGUGAGAGGACUCACAGUGCUGAAACAAGAGAGAGAAAAAGGACACAAGGCAGAUUCACAGAGAGGAUCUCAAACCCCCCCCCCAUCAUUCUCAUCGUUCCUCCUUCAUUCCAUCCACCCCAACUUCCAUCUGAUGGACCGGCUGGAGAAAAGCUAAUAACAGGUGUGUCUUCCUCCCCCCUUCAUGUUAUCUCCUCCUCCUUGUCCUCCUGUGGUCUCAUCUUCCAUCUGUCUGCGAUUUCUUCCGGGUCACCAGGGGUUUUUACAAGGUGUUAAACGCGCUAAAUGUGUGUGUGCGCA